AUUGAACGCUGGCGGCAGGCCUAACACAUGCAAGUCGAGCGGAGCGGCGGACGGGUGCGUAAUGCCUAGGAAUCUGACUGGUAGUGGGGGAUAACGUCCGGUACCGGGCGCUAAUACUGCUUACUCUUAGCUUAGCCUAGGCCGGAGUCGCUAGUUGGUGGGGUAAAGGCCUACCAAGACGACGAUCCCUAACUGGUCUGAGAGGAUGAUCAGUCAAACUGGAACUGAGACACGGUCCAGAAUCCUACGGGAGGCAGCAGUGGGGAAUAUUGGACAAUGGGCGAAAGCCUGAUGCAGCCAUGCCGCGUGUAUGAAGAAGGUCUUCGGGUUGUAAAGCACUUUAAGCGGGGAGGCGUUACCAGCAGAAUAAGCACCGGCUAACUCCGUGCCAGCAGCCGCGGUAAUUC
rnacentral:rRNA from 1 species